GCUCCCCACGCUUUCGUGCCUCAGUGUCAAUUCAGGCCCAGGAGGUUGCCUUCGCCAUCGGUGUUCUUCCAGAUAUCUACGCAUUUCACCGCUACACCUGGAGUUCCGCCUCCCUCUACCGAAUUCUAGUCACGAAGUAUCGAAUGGCAUUCCCAGGUUAAGCCCGGGGCUUUCACAUCCGACUUUCGUAACCACCUACGCACGCUUUACGCCCAGUAAAUCCGAUUAACGCUAGCACCCUCUGUAUUACCGCGGCUGCUGGCACAGAGUUAGCCGGUGCUUAUUCUGUCGGUACCGUCAAGGCUUUGGAUAUUCACCAAAGCUUUUUCUUUCCGACCUAAAGUGCUUUACAACCCGAAGGCCUUCUUCACACACGCGGCAUUGCUGGAUCAGGCUUUCGCCCAUUGUCCAAUAUUCCCCACUGCUGCCUCCCGUAGGAGUCCGGACCGUGUCUCAGUUCCGGUGUGACUGAUCAUCCUCUCAGACCAGUUACGGAUCGUUGCCUUGGUAGGCCUUUACCCUACCAACUAGCUAAUCCGACGUAGGCUCCUCCAAGAGCGUGAGGCCUUGCGGUCCCCCACUUUGCUCCAAAGAGAUCAUGCGGUAUUAAUCCGAGUUUCCCCGGGCUAUCCCCCACUCAAGGGCAGAUUCCUACGUAUUACUCACCCGUCCGCCACUAGGGUAUUGCUACCCCCGUUCGACUUGCAUGUGUUAGGCAUGCCGCCAGCGU
rnacentral:rRNA from 1 species